ensembl:snRNA U1 U1 spliceosomal RNA
AUACUCACCUGGCAGGGAGGGCACCAGGAUCAGGCAGCUGGUUUCAUCCACUGCACUCUGGGUAUCCUGACCCCUGGGAUUUCCCAAAAUGUGGGAAAUUUGGCCUCAUAAUUUACAGUAACAGAGGGCUGCUCUAGCAGGGACCUUGG